AUAUAAAAAUGGAAUAUUGCGCAAAAAGUUUUGAUUCGAAUAUAAAAGAUGCUAACUUCAGCUCGUAUCUCAAUUCUGCAACGUUCUCUUCCAUUUUAAAAAUGAGGGCUUUCUAUCUCAAAGUGAUAUUUACUGUGGUGUUGUUUUUCUUUUCUGUGAGUGGUUCACCGGUGAAUUCUACAACUAUAGCUAUACCAGAAUUUGACGAACUGGAAGUCAAGAAUAGUGUUAGUUAUAGUAUUGUGAUUGUUCCUUGCAGAAGAGGAUUUCGAAAGAUUCGCAACAAGUGCCGACCUGUGUUUUCACCAAUUGGUGAUAAUGAUGACAGCAAUGUUUUGUCAAUGUUGACGUUAUGAAACAAUGUACUUUUCCAGAUGUCUCAUUCUUGAUUUGAAGAGUUUAUAUUGCUUUUUUUAAUAAAACUGAAUUUUUCCCGUUUAGCAUGCAAAGAGACACAACAUUCUUUACUUGUCGUCAAUCAAGUCGAUAUCAUCAGUAGAUGAUUGUACCUAUCUGAAAUAAUAAAAUUUUUUUAUAUUCCACAGGGAUUGACUAGUAAUUACACAGGCCAACAAAAUAAAUGUUUUUGAAAACUU